rnacentral:rRNA from 1 species
AUUGAACGCUGGCGGCAGGCCUAACACAUGCAAGUCGAACGGUAACAGGAAACAGCUUGCUGUUUCGCUGACGAGUGGCGGACGGGUGAGUAAUGUCUGGGAAACUGCCUGAUGGAGGGGGAUAACUAUUGGAAACGAUAGCUAAUACCGCAUAAUAUUUUUUCUCGCAUGAGAGAGAAUUGAAAGGCGCAAUUGCGUCACUAUGAGAUGGACCUGCGUUGUAUUAGCUAGUUGGUGGGGUAACGGCUCACCAAGGCAUCGAUACAUAGCCGACCUGAGAGGGUGAUCGGCCACACUGGGACUGAGACACGGCCCAG